CCUCCACAGCCGCUCCUGAUUCCCCAUCGCCGCCACCCACCACCUCUUCCCUCCUCUCCUAGAGCCACGCCCAUCCCAAUCCAUCUUCCUCCUCCCCUCCGCCUCCAACUCAACCGCCCAGCAAUGGCACAUCGCCGCCGCUCGCACCCACCAGCCACCUUGCUCAUGGGCUCAGACCUCUCACCCAUCCUUUCCUGGCGUUCUCUCCCAGAACAGAUCGAGUAGCCGGCAGCCAGAUCCGCAGCGGUCCUUCCAGUGGCCAUGCCAUGGAGCUCAUCCACUAGGUCCCCUCUUCUCCCCGCUCCUCCGUCUCCCCUUCUCUCACUGAUUUGAUUUGAUUCGGUUUCGCAGCCGUGAUUCAAUUUUGUCAAGUUGGUGAUGUUGCUGCCUUGAAGGACCUGCCGAAGUGGAGAAGGAGGCCCACCGGCGCCAUGGGCUAACGUGAACCAAGUCGAGACCUCCAGCCCACAUCAGCCGCAACUCCUCCUCACCUGUAGAGUGACAAGGUUUGGCAAUUAAUCAAUGUCACUGGAGAUUGAAGUCUUUAGUAUGAAUUAUUUGGGUCCGGAUAGCUGCCUUGAAGCGGUGCUGUAGUGUUGGAGAUUAAAAUCAGCUAGUAGUCCAUUUUCUCUGAAGUCGUGUUACUCAUUUUUUUAAUGCUUAUAGCGCUUCCUAGAUAUGCUUGUAAGUUUUGAUAUUAAGCAUUUUUUUCAGUCAGACUAGAUUGUUGGAACUCUGUAUUGUCAUGUGAACAAUUGCGUUUCUUGAAUGAAUCCAAUUUUGUUAUCCUCUA